AAGACUAUAGACCUGCGGAGUACCUGCGGAGGGAUCAUUACCGAGUUCUCGCCCCUCGCGGGGUAGACCUCCCACCCACUGUGAUCACUACCGUCGUUGCUUUGGCGGGCCGCUGGGCCCAGCCCACCGCCGGCUCCGGCUGGCGCGUGCCCGCCAGAGGCCCUACAAACGCUGGAUAUCAGUGCCGUCUGAGUACACAUGUUAAUCGUUAAAACUUUUAACAAUGGAUCUCUAGAUCGG
rnacentral:misc_RNA from 1 species